GAUGCUGACCUUUCUGACAGGCAGAGUCUUGGCAACAGAACACUUGACAGGUCCUGAGUCUGGAAGAGCUGGUGACGUUUAAGUGAAAAACAGAAAUGGCACAAAAAUAGUUUUAUUUGUGAUAAGGACUCACAGCCAGUUGCAGUUGGCCAGCAAGUCUGUGCUGCAUUAACAAACAGAACAGAGCCAGGCUGUCACUUUCAGCAUAAUGCUAUUCUGAUAACUCUUAAAAGAGACAAGUGAUUUAGUCUUUGGGGAUUGUAAUGUUCUCUUUUGAGACUUGAAGCAGUACAAAAAUCCAUGUUAAGUGAAGGUUGAUAGUUUAAAUUUAGUCUUGGUAAAAACUGAGUAAGUUCCCCUUCCCCGGUCUCAUGUUCCUGGCCUUUUAAUAGUUACAUUUCGGAAAGCAGGGCACCAGAGAACAAUUUUGAUGGCAAGUAGUUGUUUUCUAAUAAAAAGCACAUCCUUACUUUAUUCAUGGAAGUAAGAAAAGCAAUGUUAGGGUAAUAAUUUAAAUUGCUAUAGAAAUAUAAUGGAUUUUAAAGACAUCCGCUAAACUAAAUGACAGCCCCUUAGAGAAGGCUUAAUGUGUUGAUGGCAAGUUAUUACAGCUAAUUUGACAGGAGAAGAGGAGCAUAAAAACCUAAACAUGCCCAGAGCAGAUUUUCCGCCAACAGCGUUUUACUUGGUAACCAAUCUGUUUAUGCUGAAGCCAGUCACAGGUCAUCGAUAAAUGAUGUCUAGGAUUACUGUUCCAGUAGUCCCCUAUCUGCAAGCGACAACUAAAUACUGUUAGUCGUUGCUUGCAGAUAGGGGAUUACUGUAACAGCCCCACAAGAAGAACCCAGUGAGUGGUUCUCCAUGGGUGUUGGACUAUUUUGGACAGUCUUGCACAUCAAUUAAAAUGAAGAAUGAGUCUGACUUUCUUCUAUAAGAAAUGAUUCAUAAUUAUUUUCACAUUUGUUCUCUGGAUAGAGUUUGGUUCAAGAUUCUCUCAGUUCAAUGGCCAUGACUAGAGACUUUUAAUACCCAGAAAGUGAUAUAUGUCACUUAAAAAAAAAAAUUAAGGAACAAGUUCAGUAUGCAUGUUCUAAAUUUACUCUCAUGGAUUUAAAAAAAAAAAUUCCCCACCCCUUUUCAAGAUUUCUCACUGUGAACUUUAGAACUCACCCUGAGUCAGAGGAGAAGCCUUUCUCUGAGAUUUAACACGGGCCUUAAAAGAGAGUGCUGUGCUAGAGCAGACAGGUGUCUGCUUCUAAGGUUGCCGUAUCUUCUCAAAGGUCUUCUGGCCCCAAUAAGUACCAGCUCUUUAGCUGAUGAUAGUUUUCAGGGAAUAGAGGGCCAUGAAAUUGAAACUUGGAGGUGGAUUAAAUGUUGAAUUUUUUUCAAAUUGUCAAUUUUUCAGGUAUAAACUUGGAAAGGUGAUGCUAUAUUAUGUGGUGGGCUAUUGUGUCUGGGUGCACAUCUUUCCUGUAGGACCUCCUAACCAGUUUUAUAACAGGCAGCAAGGGUAGUUUGACACUAUGACUUUUACCUGAUUUCCAACCUUUAGGAACUUGGAAUAUGAGUUUUACUGCUUUUUUAUUUAUGAUUUUUACCUUUUUAACUAACAUUGCUUUGUCUUUUAUUAUCCAUUAAUGGUUACUUAAAAUUCUAGAAUAGGUUUCGUUUUUAGAAAUUGUGAAAUUUUGCAUUUUUUCAGGUUGCAGUAUAGCAAAUUAUUGCCCCCAUUUUGUGUGUGUGUGUGUGUGUGUGUGUGUGGGGUUAAACAAUAGCUUAUUUCUCAGGGGGAGCGCUGGCUGGUAGUGAUACCAUUCUACCUAUUUGCCUGUCAGUUGUUGACUUGAGCCAAAAGAUGGUAGGUGCAGCUACUCUCAUAAGUUGGGUUACUGUUUAACUGAAUUUCAGUGAGUUACUGUGAUCUCAGAAAUAACUCAGGGAGUCAAGAGUAAGUCAGAGGAGAAGUCUUUCUCUGAGAUUUAACACUGGCCUUAAAAGCAUCACUUACUGCUGAGAUAGAAACUAAAGAGUAAGAAGGAUUGACUAGCUGAUGAUACAACAUACAGAAAAACAGGAACCUGUGGACUGACUUGCUCUUGUCAGCAUCUCCUGCAGCUGUUCAGCAGGCCCUAUUUGCCUGGCACCAAAGGGAGCACCAGGGAAGGAUAAUAGUUGAAGGUUUCUAUACUUCUGAAAUAUGAGAAUAGGGAAGAAAUACAUGGUACUUAAGGCAAAAAGGAAGAAGAAACCCUGUUCUGGUCCCACUCACCCAGGAUCGUAUAGAAGAAUGCUCCAGUCCAAGUGCUGCCUGGUGGUUCCUCUGCCGCUCCAGAGGCCCUCCAUACCCCUCAGCGGAGACUCACCUUACCAGCACACAUUCCAAAGGGUAGUCACAGCUAAGUGCACACCCCGUGAUCGCUUUGAAACUUUCCCUUACUUAUCCCACAGUGAUAUUUUCCUUCUGAAUCAUUGCAAUAUUUAAUGCUUGUCUGCACCAGACUGGAUGAGGGAAAAGAAGCUUUUUUUUGGUGCCAGGCAUUAGACAAGGUUGUAUUCAAUCUUCACAACCUUCCUGUGGGGUAAAUACAGCUGCUUCACUUUAUAGAUUAGAAACUUGGCCAGAGAAAUAUGGAUAAUAGUUACAGGAGAAGCGUCUGCCAUUUCUGUAGCACCUGAUUCAGUGCUAGUCACAGAGAUGUGUAAGGCAUGGAGACAUAGCAGAUUCUGGCUCUUAAUCCAGAGAUCCCGGCUCACCAGUCUGCACCGUUUUGCCCUCCUGCAUCAUGGCAGUUGUGUGGCUCUCUUAUUCAUGGUAUUUUCCAGAAUUUGAUUCUUCUCUUAAUACCUGUCAUACGUUUCCAGUGGUCAGGGAAUCUGUUAGGUGACAGUGGCACUAAGGGAGAUCCAUUAAAAACCCAUCGUGAAUCUAUCACAAGUUGUGACUUAAAUAACUUAACCCUAACUCUGAACCUCGGUUUCCACACCUCUAAAAUGGGAAUGAUAUUAGUAACUGCCUCGGAAGGUUUGUGUGAGGACUAAAUAAUGAAUGUUAUAAUCCCAGCAGAGAGGAAGUGCACAAUAAAUGGUAGCUUUUAUCAUUGUUGUCAUGCUUUUGUCUUUGGAAAUAAAAAUCCUCUAUCAUCUCCUGGGGUUAAUGCGGUCAGUGGAUAUGCUACCCUAUUUACGACACAGUUAUUCCUUUUCUUUGUCUAGUGUCCAGGGUUCCCUUGGUUCUGGUGUCUGGGGAUUGCCGAACACGUCCUGGUUCACCUGUCCUUACCCCUCGUGGUUAUGAGUGCUUCAUGAGUGCUUGACUCGGGUCAGCCAUAAAGCAGAGGCCACACAGUUUAGAGAGCCUUUGCUAGCAGGGAAUCACGGGAUUGCCAGGGAAUAGAUUUUCGUAUUACCUGUAUGUGUUAGGAGUACAGACUUUUUUUUAGUUCAUGGUAUGAUACAUUAUUUUUUUAAAACUACAAACCCAGAGGUGCAGACCUUAGUUGUAUACGUAUUCAUUUUCCCUCUAAAAAAAGAAUUUUUAAAAUCUGAGCAUGUGAAUUACAUUUUGUUAUUUAGGGUUCAACACUUGAUUAAGUUACUCUGCAUAGUAAUAGGAGAGUGAUUUAUGACCUGUAAAGAUUUUUGCUUCAAGGCAAAAUUGUGCAUUUCUCAUGGAUGUAAACGUCUUCUGUGUAGCACCACACAUGCACGUGUGUGUGUGUGUGUGUGUGCGUGCGCACGUGUCCAUGUUUUGGUUCAUUUUAUGUUUCAGGGGUUGUGAUGUUGGUAUGACUACCGGUACCAAUGGUUUACCCAUUUGCAUGUGGAUUCCUUUAGCUCUCCAGUUUGCCUUCUCUGAUGAGGUGAGGAGUUGUCAUUUUAACCAACUGAAACAACACUUUUGAAGAUUAUGGCAAGGUCUCAUUUUUUUCUUCAUUUAAUCCAGAUGCCUCAUGAAGACUUCAGCCUCUAUGUCUAUAUACAUAUGAUAGUUAAUAAUUGGGCCUAUAAAGGUCUUUGUAAGAGGCUUUGCCGAAGCAUCUGCAGAGCCCUUACAGUGCUUGACAUGUGUCUGAACAUUGGGGUAUUAGGGGAUCAGGUCGAGUAACGAAGUUGAUGCAGAAAUUGUGGUGGCUUUUGUAUUAUCUUUUUAUAUAUCUUUAUAUAAAUAUUCUCUUUCUAAUCAUAAAGACACGUGCAGUUUGUCUUCUAUGUCAGUUAAUUCAAUUUUAUGUAAAAGCUCUGGCAGUUGGAGCUUGGCCUUGCAGAGCAGUUUGUUGUACAGUUCACCUGCGCGGUCACGCUUUAGAUUCCUUUUGGACUUAUGGCGGAGGCCGUUCUGGAUUCUCCAAGCCGGUGGAGGGCAGCCAUCUCUGGGUUAUGGGGAUGCUGAUUUGUUUCCUGCUGUGCUGCCAAGACUCCUUUCUCUUCUCCCCCCACACCUGUGAAAAGAAGGCAGUUUUGGUUGUCUGUGGCCUAAAGUAGAGAUACCACAAGGUUCUGUUGGCUGGGGAUGGGAAGAAUGGAAGUAGGGGAUGAGGGAGAAUUUGAAACCCCUCAGUGGAAAUCUCUCUGAGGUAGAGACCGGCAGGAAGGCAGCCCAGAUCAUCCAUCCUUGUCCUCUAGAGGCUAACGAGCACUGUCUCUUGCUGAGCCGCCCGAGGAGGAGGAGGGCUGAGGGCGCUCUCCUGUGUCUUCAUCUAGACCUGGCUCUGAGUCCAGGAGGGAUGUGAAGGCAUUUUAAACGUGCUCCCUCCCUGUAAUCUCACGUUUGAAACCCCAUAGUGGGUGGUAUAAAGAGGCUUAAUAAUUAGUUUCUAGUUGACCACACUGUGGCUUAUGUAUACUAAAGCAGACCUUAGAACAUGGCUCAUUGUUUUUGAGUACUUGGUUUGGCAACUAGGUUUUUAAUUCAGUAUAAAAAAUAGGCAUUUUGCCCUUAGUGUGUAUCAAUUAUGCAACUCCUAAGAGGACACCAAAAAAGCCGUUCUGUGUCUUCCAGAAGCUAAGUGCCCCAGGAGCGGUACAUGAUUAGUUCUAGCUUUAUCUCGGGUACCGAAUGCCUCUGUUCUCAGGCAGAGCCGAAGGACUAGGCGUGGACGGAUGGGAUGUCUCACUCAGGUUCAAGGAGUGAUUUGACAGGAUGGGCCUCUUGCGGAGUGUCUUCCUGACAGUCAGGGCCAUAAAGUUUUCAUGAGUUUCACUUGAAGCGUGAAUUUGUGAUUUCAGUUGUAUUUGGUGUCACUCCUGGAGUAAUUGGACACAAGCAUGAAGCACAUGCUCAGUAAAGUUCUGAUUAGUAAAAUGGGUGCGAGCUACAAAAAUACUAAGUUUGGAGGCAUGGAAAAUGUGACUGGUCAUUCUCUCACAGGCAGUAAGCUUUACUGUCUAUUUCUGUGAAAUUAGUUUAACCUACGAUUAGUUUAAUCUUUUGAACUUUAUCCCACGUUUACUUCUUCCAUUUAACAGUUAGCACUUGCCCAACCAGUUAGGAAUCUCCUGCCCUGAACCCUUCCGAGUCCUUUGUUGAUGACCUGCUCAUGGAACUUGGUGUGUCCUGCGUCAGGGUGGCGGUUCACGGGUUCAUACUCCCUUCCUUCCCCCACCUCCUCGUCCCCCCAUCACUCUCUGAACUCUCAACCGUAGGCUCUGUGUCUGGCUCACUUGGUAUGUGCAGUGCUGAGCACGGGGUUUGCUCAUAGUAGAUACUUACAGAUACUUAGUAAGUAUUUGCUGAAUUCAAGUUAACUAUCUUAAACCAAAUAAAAAUCAGUGUUGGACUUGCCAUGUACUUACAGAGAAUAUAAUGUCCAGUGUUGGUCUGUCCAAAUGGCUACCAAAAUCUAAACCAAAUUGAGGGAAUUGUAGCAUCAGGCUUUGCUUGAAAUUUCGGUACGCAUACUCCACAUACAUUCUGUAAUCGUGUGUUGAUAUUUACUGAUGGGGGCGCUGGCAACAGCCACAGCAGUACAUUUAUUUUUAACUUUCUUAGUGAACUCUGGGUUGGAAACUUAACAUUACGAAAUCAGCAGCUGAAAUUGAGCGUUCAGAUUGCCUAAAAUUGAAAAAUUGAAAUAUGAAGGGAGCAUGAGCCUUAUAAAAACUGCUGUGUCCUUGCAAAAUAUUAACGCUGGUUAGAUGUAACUUAUACCUAUUCUGUCUUUAUCCCAACACAUUUUAAAUAGGAAAAAGUGUAUGUGCAGUUGACAUGUAGGAUGAAGCUGUGAGAGGACUACAUUUUUAGGAAAUGAGUUUGCAGAAUGCCUUUGGGUGGUUUUUUCCCCCCUCUUUUGCAUUUGUGUGUAUUUAUUUGUCACAGAUAGGAGGAAGUAGUUCUUGUGGAGAGCAUGGGCUGAUUGCUCACCGUUCCAAUUAAACACCCUGCGUUUUGUUUAGUUACGUUGUGUGGCUUCAGUAUACAUUACUCUCCCUUAGGCCUCAUCCACAUACCUCAGAGUAACCUAAUAUGUGUCGUUAAAUUAAAAACAUGAUUUGAGCUUAGGGGUUUCAUUUAUAGUUAGAAAAGUGAAAUGUAAGGAAUUCAGUGAAUACACAAACUAUUUAAAUACAAUUUUGGAAACAUUUCACAGCGAGCUAGUAUUACAGAUGAAAUUUAAAAUCGUGUAGAGAUGGGUGAUCAUUUUGGGUUCUUAUGUUAGCCCAUGACUUUAUUUUUUAUAGAACUUCUGAUUCUUAUCUUUUGGUGACCAACCAUUCUUUACCUUUUAUUUUCGAUCGUUUUUUUAAAUUUUCAUGCUAUAAUCUGUAUAAAACUUGUAUUUUCAUUAGCAGAAUAAUUUUAUUUACUGCUACAUUAGGUUAGGAAGUGUUAGGUUUGGGCUGGAUUGGAAUUAGGUGUGAAUGAUCUGAAUUCAGAUUUUGCCUUUAUUUGCUUUGGAGUUAUUUUUUCAAAUGAUGGAGGAGGAAAGAAUCAGAAAACAUUUGUAUUGUUUAAGGCCAAAGAGGAAACUUUGCUUUGCGCCAGCAGCAAGCUCCCCGAAGGCUGAAACUCCUUUGGGUUCUCUGGAUUCUAAAACACUGCUCUGAAUGUGGGGUCGCAAAUACUUGUCCCAUUGAGAUUUUUCACAUUUUUUUAAAGGUUACACAUUUUUUCACAAGAAUACUUCUGAUAACUCUGAAGCUGAUAAUACUUUACAUGUAUACCUUGUUUUUGCUUUAGAAGUUUAAGAUGAGGAAAAAUUAAAUGUGGGCUGAACUGAAGUUACGUAUUAAAGAUCUUAAUUCAGCUUUUAGCUUGAUUUUAUUUAGCUUUGAUUUAUGAAACAUCAAAAAGAAAAGAAGCAGGAAAAUAUUUAGAUUGUUUAUAGUCAAAGAUGAAUGAAGAUUUAAAAUAGUACCCAGAUAAUUUAGGGCGAAGUAAAUCUUUGUCCUAAAAUACUCAGCUGAAGGCAAAAACUUUUUUAGAGUCUGUUUUUCAAGCGUGUUAAUUUUUUUUUUCUGAUUAUAAAAUACAUAUUUAUGAAGUUUUGAAAAUAAAAGUCAGUUGUAGUCUCAGCAUUUAAUUACCGCUAUUUGUUAUAUUUCUUAAUUCACAUAGUUUAUUUUGCUGUAGAUGUUUAUAUUAUACAUAGAUACCUAUUUAUAUUGGUAUUAUGAUUUUUUUUUCUUCACAUUCUUUGAAAAGAUGGUUUUUAAUGGCUGUAUGCAUAGUAGCCGAUUGCUUGGAAGAACUAUGAGGUAUUUCACCAACUCUCUUUCAGUGGGUGUUUAGUAAGUCCAAGGUUUCGCUGUUCUGAAAAAAUCUAGUGUUAUUUUCUUACCUGAUGAAUUGGGAUGCAUUUCUGAAAGUGGAAUUAUCAAGUUAAAGGGUAUAUGGUAUAUAUAGGAUACGAGCAGCUUUAAAACUUUUUAACUACGUAGUGUCAGACCCCACCCCAGAAAGAUUAUGCCAAAAGGAUUCUUUUACCUUUUAUUUACCACAUGUAGUCAAGUUUACUAUUUUCUGUGUCAUCAUUAAAGAGACUUCUAUUUA